rnacentral:rRNA from 1 species
UACAGAGGUCUCAAGCGUUGUUCGGAUUCAUUGGGCGUAAAGGGUGCGUAGGCGGCGCGGUAAGUCGGGUGUGAAAUCUCGGGGCUUAACUCCGAAACUGCAUUCGAUACUGCCUUGCUAGAGUACUGGAGAGGAGACUGGAAUUUACGGUGUAGCAGUGAAAUGCGUAGAUAUCGUAAGGAAGACCAGUGGCGCAGGCGAGUCUCUGGACAGUUACUGACGCUGAGGCACGAAGGCCAGGGGAGCAAACGGG